GACGAACGCUGGCGGCGUGCCUAAUACAUGCAAGUCGAGCGGAGCGGCGGACGGGUGAGUAAUGCCUAGGAAUCUGCCUGGUAGUGGGGGAUAACGUCCGGAAACGGGCGCUAAUACCGCAUACUAUCAGAUGAGCCUAGGUCGGAUUAGCUAGUUGGUGGGGUAAAGGCCUACCAAGGCGACGAUCCGUAACUGGUCUGAGAGGAUGAUCAGUCACACUGGAACUGAGACACGGUCCAGCCUCCUACGGGAGGCAGCAGUGGGGAAUAUUGGACAAUGGGCGAAAGCCUGAUCCAGCCAUGCCGCGUGUGUGAAGAAGGUCUUCGGAUUGUAAAGUACUUUUGGCAGAGAAGCGGUAUCUGCAGAAUAAGCACCGGCUAACUACGUGCCAGCAGCCGCGGUAAUUC
rnacentral:rRNA from 1 species